UUAAGUGGAAUGAAUGAACU
rnacentral:misc_RNA from 1 species